GAAAAAAGUGCACAACGCAUGUCAUUACUCUAAAGAAGUUUUUAUAUUUGAUCUAACUCAAAAAAAUACAUUUUCUGUCCAGCCAUCAGUUUUAUGUAAAAAAUGUGUUUGAUUUAAAUUAAAAGUAAGUCCUGUUGGUGUAAAGUAAAUACAUUUCUGUAAAUUAAAUUAAAAAUAUUAGUUUCCAUUGUCACGUGACUUACGUAACGUCACCCUGCUGGUGCGUCGGGACGUACAGCUGAAGUUCAGCUUUCCGCCAUCUUGUUAUACACUGCACCGAUGGAUGAACUCCGCGUGGUACAAUGGGAUUCAAGAAAAUUGGCCAAUCAUAUCCCAUCCCUGGAUAGACAUCAGCAAACAUUAUGACAAAGACGUUUGCCUUACGCAGACAAGAGAUUGUGGAAAACCAACCUACUGUUCAAGAACUGCAAGAAAGAUUGCCAGAGGAGAUUAAUGCAGAAUUGUGCAUCACGAUCUUACCUUGAAAAUCAAGAUUUAUGGCCUCUUUGGACAGACAGAGCUCUCAUGUUAUUAGGACCAAAGGUGGAGUCCUCCAUGAAAAACUAAGGACACUAUUAAAGUUAUGGAUCAGAGUCUGGACAUAGAAAUCAGAAGAGAAAGCCUGCUGAAGUGCCUGAUUCAUGUACUUUGGUGAAGAUGCAAGCUGUCUGAUCAAAGAAUACCAGGUAAUGUAGACAAUGCAAACUGCUGAAAGUUUCUCCAACCAUGUUUGCCUUAAAGGUGCAGUGUGUAAUUUUUAGAAGAAACUCUUGACAGAAAUCCAAAAUAAUAUACAAAACUAUAUUGUCAGGGGUGUAUAAAGACCUUUCACAAUGAACCGUUAUGUUUUUAUUAUACCUUAGAAUGAGAUGUUUUUAUCUACAUACACAGAGGGUCCCCUUACAUGGAAGCCGCCAUGUUUCUACAGAAGCCCUUAACGGACAAACUUUUUUUACCAAGUUGUCCGUAGCUUCUCUAUGCAUUUCAAAAGCGAGGAGUGAUCAAUGAACUGAGCCAUUGGUUGCAAUUCGCAACCUCACCACUAGAUACUGCUUAAAUUUACACACUGCACCUUUAAGAUAAAAAAUCUGUCAUCAUUUACUCAUCCUCAUGUUGUUCUAAACCUGUAUGAAUUUCUUUUUUCUGAUGAACACAAAAGAAGAUAUUUUGAAAAAAGGAUGGUAAACACACAGCAGAUAGUGACCAUUAACUUCCAUAGUAGGAUUAAGAAAUAUGAUGGAAUUUAAUGGGUAUCGUCAACUGUGUGCUUACCAUCAUUUAUCAAAAUAUUUUCUUCAUUUAUCACAAUACUUCCAAAAUAUUUUUCCUACUAUAGAAGUCAAUGAACACUAUGCUGUGUGUUUACCAUCAUUUCUCAAAAUAUCUUCUUUUGUGUUCUUCAGAAAAAAUACAUUUAUACAGGUUCAGAACAACAUGAGGAUGAGUAAAUGAUGACAGAAUUUUCAUUUUAAGGUUAACUAUCCCUUUAAAGGAAAACACCACAGUUUUUCAAUAUUUUAUUAUGUUCUUACCUCAACUUAGACAAAUUAAUCCAUCCCUAUCUUUUUUCAAUAAGUACACUUAAUCUUUGUACAGUGUGUCGUAAAUGUGUUAGCAUUUAGCCUAGCCCUAUUCAUACCUUAGGUUCCAAACAGGGAUACAUUUAGAAGCCACCAAACACUUCCAUGUUUUCCCUAUUUAAAGACUGUUACAUGAGUAGUUACAUGAGUAAGUAUGGUGGCACAAAAUAAAACCUGGUGAUUUUCUAAGCGGAUAAAAAGUGAGAACUAUAUUGUAUGGCAGAAGAGCACUUAGUUUGCAGCACUCGGACCUCGGUCGCAGUAACAUCAUCAGAACUCUCCCUCAAAUUCUAAAAAAAGGGGGACUAGUCAGGUAUGAUGGUGUUACUGCAUGCUGUUUGGAUCCUAAGGAAUGAAUGGUGCUAAGCUAAACGCUUACAUAUGCACGCUACAGCAAUUAAAGUAUUAGCCCACUUCUGAAUUAAACAUUCCUCAUAAUUUACUCACGUUCAAGACUUUCUUUCUUCACUAAAUAAAAGAGAUUAAGGUUUUUGAUGAAAACAUUCCAGGAUUAUUCUCCAUAUAUAGUGGACUUCAAUUACACACAAAUGGCUGAAGUAUUCUUCAGAGAAUUUACGCUGUAUGUCCUACGCCUUUCUUAUUCUACUUACG